rnacentral:rRNA from 1 species
CAGUAGCCACGGUAAUACGUAGGUGGCAAGCGUUGUCCGGAAUUAUUGGGCGUAAAGGGCUCGCAGGCGGUUUCUUAAGUCUGAUGUGAAAGCCCCCGGCUCAACCGGGGAGGGUCAUUGGAAACUGGGAAACUUGAGUGCAGAAGAGGAGAGUGGAAUUCCACGUGUAGCGGUGAAAUGCGUAGAGAUGUGGAGGAACACCAGUGGCGAAGGCGACUCUCUGGUCUGUAACUGACGCUGAGGAGCGAAAGCGUGGGGAGCGAACAGGAUUAGAUACCCCUGUAGUCCCUGUCUAUUAUAC